UACGGAGGGGGCUAGCGUUGUUCGGAAUCACUGGGCGUAAAGCGCACGUAGGCGGAUUGUCAAGUCGGGGGUGAAAGCCCGGGGCUCAACCUCGGAACUGCCUCCGAUACUGACUGUCUGGAGUCCGGGAGAGGUGAGUGGAAUUCCUAGUGUAGAGGUGAAAUUCGUAGAUAUUAGGAAGAACACCAGUGGCGAAGGCGGCUCACUGGCCCGGUACUGACGCUGAGGUGCGAAAGCGUGGGGAGCAAACAGG
rnacentral:rRNA from 1 species